rnacentral:rRNA from 1 species
UAAUACAUGCAAGUCGAGCGGACAGAAGGGAGCUUGCUCCCGGAUGUUAGCGGCGGACGGGUGAGUAACACGUGGGUAACCUGCCUGUAAGACUGGGAUAACUCCGGGAAACCGGAGCUAAUACCGGAUAGUUCCUUGAACCGCAUGGUUCAAGGAUGAAAGACGGUUUCGGCUGUCACUUACAGAUGGACCCGCGGCGCAUUAGCUAGUUGGUGGGGUAAUGGCUCACCAAGGCGACGAUGCGUAGCCGACCUGAGAGGGUGAUCGGCCACACUGGGACUGAGACACGGCCCAGACUCCUACGGGAGGCAGCAGUAGGGAAUCUUCCGCAAUGGACGAAAGUCUGACGGAGCAACGCCGCGUGAGUGAUGAAGGUUUUCGGAUCGUAAAGCUCUGUUGUUAGGGAAGAACAAGUGCGAGAGUAACUGCUCGCACCUUGACGGUACCUAACCAGAAAGCCACGGCUAACUACGUGCCAGCAGCCGCGGUAAUACGUAGGUGGCAAGCGUUGUCCGGAAUUAUUGGGCGUAAAGGGCUCGCAGGCGGUUUCUUAAGUCUGAUGUGAAAGCCCCCGGCUCAACCGGGGAGGGUCAUUGGAAACUGGGAAACUUGAGUGCAGAAGAGGAGAGUGGAAUUCCACGUGUAGCGGUGAAAUGCGUAGAGAUGUGGAGGAACACCAGUGGCGAAGGCGACUCUCUGGUCUGUAACUGACGCUGAGGAGCGAAAGCGUGGGGAGCGAACAGGAUUAGAUACCCUGGUAGUCCACGCCGUAAACGAUGAGUGCUAAGUGUUAGGGGGUUUCCGCCCCUUAGUGCUGCAG